rnacentral:rRNA from 1 species
UACGGAGGAUCCGAGCGUUAUCCGGAUUUAUUGGGUUUAAAGGGUGCGUAGGUGGUUUGAUAAGUCAGCGGUGAAAGUUUGCAGCUUAACUGUAAAAAUGCCGUUGAAACUGUCGGACUUGAGUGUAAAUGAGGUAGGCGGAAUGCGUGGUGUAGCGGUGAAAUGCAUAGAUAUCACGCAGAACUCCGAUUGCGAAGGCAGCUUACUAAGCUACAACUGACACUGAAGCACGAAAGCGUGGGGAUCAAACAGGAUUAGAUACCCUGGUAGUCCACGCAGUAAACGAUGAUUACUAGCUGUUUGCGAUACACAGUAAGCGGCACAGCGAAAGCGUUAAGUAAUCCACCUGGGGAGUACGCCGGCAACGGUGAAACUCAAAGGAAUUGACGGGGGCCCGCACAAGCGGAGGAACAUGUGGUUUAAUUCGAUGAUACGCGAGGAACCUUACCCGGGUUUGAACGUAGGGAGACAGGAGUGGAAACAUUCUUUUCAGCAAUGACUGCCUACGAGGUGCUGCAUGGUUGUCGUCAGCUCGUGCCGUGAGGUGUCGGCUUAAGUGCCAUAACGAGCGCAACCCUUAUUUCCAGUUACUAACAGGUCAAGCUGAGGACUCUGGAGAGACUGCCAGCGUAAGCUGUGAGGAAGGUGGGGAUGACGUCAAAUCAGCACGGCCCUUACAUCCGGGGCGACACACGUGUUACAAUGGUAAGGACAAAGGGCAGCUACCGGGCGACCGGAUGCGAAUCUCUAAACCUUAUCUCAGUUCGGAUCGGAGUCUGCAACUCGACUCCGUGAAGCUGGAUUCGCUAGUAAUCGCGCAUCAGCCAUGGCGCGGUGAAUACGUUCCCGGGCCU